CUAAAUCAAAUAAACAAGACAUCAGUGCAUGUAACCUUUCAUUCACACUUCAUCCACCACCUCAUUCUUUACUCUCUCGCACUUCACCCAUGGUAAUCUUCCUUCUCUCAACAAAUGUCAUAUCCAGUAACUCAAUCAUACAUCUUAAUCAAAAGCAAUAAGUAUAACACCCGACAUGAAAGAGCACCUACAUAAACAUAGUCUUUUGUGCCUUCAAGUCUCUCGUACUGACACUGUUAACACAAGACAGCACUUCUCAUCACUAGAAACACACCCCUGAAUUCGUUAAGCGUUCAACACUUUCUCUAACAUCAUGGAACGACAGCCAGCAGCGGUGGCAUCUGAUUUUAAAGCAUGCUGGCACUAAAGAAGUUUAGGCUUCGGGACAGAGAAGAGGUGAGGGAGUGCUCCUUCUAAUACCAAGAUAGUUCCCCCAAGUUACUAGAAUCAUCACCUGACCCUUAAAUAUUAUUUUUAUGUGUGAUUUGUCUAAUCACUCCUGGCAACUCAUGUGAUAAAAGGGAUUUUCUUCUGUCUUCAAAUUUCAGGCCAAGGCAGAGAAACACGAUUUUUUGAAGGGAUGUGCUAACGGGAUUUUCAUCAGAUGGAAUUUCCUGCCUUUCUCAUAAACACCAUCACCGUGGAAAAUAUGACCACUUUUACCAUGUACCUGGGCAGACCUUUUCCUGGAAGACUGAGAUGGAGUUUGUCUUUGAUGGGAAGAAGAGAAGCGAGAGUUUCAACGGGGCAAAGGCGCCAAGAGGCAGCACUAAGUCUCAUCUCUCACACAAGAUGUGCAGCGUGCAUUCUUGAAGACAGAGUGACAUCUAAAGGGAUUUUGAAAUAGCCAGGGCUGCUACAUGGCAGCAAUACUGACAAAGUCAAGGGCAUGUCAUAUUUUGGAAAACUGAUGAGUUUUCAGGUUUCCUGUGCUUGAUUGUCCCAAGUAACCAUGAAAAGAGGAUCAAAUUCCGAUUUUAAUGACAUGCCUCAGGGUGCCCUCAGGACAACUGCCAUUUUUAUCUUAGAUUCUGCAGGUCCUCGGUGAACAAAAGGGGGAAAAAUCAGCUUUGAAUAGAUUCCUUACGCUCUUGUCAAAAGUAAUCCAACUCUGAAUAUCUAUAUCCCAAAAUAUCAUCAUGCGGGCAGUUUUUAUUAACCUAAAGAAUUAAUAGAGCAGAAUAUUUAAAAUGGGGUUUCAGUUAUUGAUUCUCCAAUUAGAUCUUGUGUUCCCUAGGUGCUGUGUAUAAUAAUGGUUUUUGCUCUGUCUCCCGCGCUCGCUGGCUUGCUCUGGCUCCCUCUCUUUCUCUCGGUGUCUCUGUGUUCCGCAUAAGCAUGCAUGCUUUGAAUACACAUGUGGUGCAUAAUGACCAGAUCUGGGAGGCGAGACUGCAUUUGUGGAUUCUGAUUAUGCUUUUGAAAAAUAUCUCCGAUCCCCAAAUUUAGUCUUUUCCAAGCUUAUAAUCCCUGCUCUCCUUCCGUCUGCACAACAUCAUUUUUAUUUUGGAGUUGACUCUCAUAGUAUGUGGCAGCUUAGCCAGAGAGCAAGGCCCGUGUGCUUGUUAACAGCACCCUGAUGUUAACAAUGAACUAAUUACUUUUACUACUGAUGUGCUCUGGGGCAUUAUUUUCUUUCUGUGUGCUUUCCUACUGAACUACUGUCAUUACUCAAUCAGAGGACUGAGGCAAGCAAAAGCAAACAACAACAACAACAACAGCAGCAACAAAAAGUGAAUGCAUUUUCCUCCACAGGACUGAAACCGGAGUCCAUAUCCAGGGUCUGCUCCC
ensembl:lncRNA